AUUGAACGCUGGCGGCAGGCCUAACACAUGCAAGUCGAACGAGUGGCGGACGGGUGAGUAAUGUCUGGGAAACUGCCUGAUGGAGGGGGAUAACUACUGGAACCGGUAGCUAAUACCGCCUACCAUCGGAUGUGCCCCGAUGGGAUUGGCUAGUAGGUGGGGUAAAGGCUCACCUAGGAGACUAUCCCUCGCUGGUCUGAGAGGAUGACCAGCCACACUGGAACUGAGACACGGUCCAUACUCAUACGGGAGGCAGCAGUGGGGAAUAUUGCACAAUGGGCGCAAGCCUGAUGCAUCCAUGCCGCGUGUAUGAAGAAGGCCUUCGGGUUGUAAAGUACUUUCAGCGGGGAGGCGUUACCCGCAGAAGAAGCACCGGCUAACUCCGUGCCAGCAGCCGCGGUAAUAC
rnacentral:rRNA from 1 species